UCCUUUGUAGCUCAAUUGGCAGAGCAGCCGACUGUUAAUCGGCAGGUUACUGGUUCGAGUCCAGUCGGAGGAG
rnacentral:tRNA from 1 species